rnacentral:rRNA from 1 species
GACGAACGCUGGCGGCGUGCUUAACACAUGCAAGUCGAACGGAAAGGCCCUGCUUUUGUGGGGUGCUCGAGUGGCGAACGGGUGAGUAACACGUGAGUAACCUGCCCUUGACUUUGGGAUAACUUCAGGAAACUGGGGCUAAUACCGGAUAGGAGCUCCUGCUGCAUGGUGGGGGUUGGAAAGUUUCGGCGGUUGGGGAUGGACUCGCGGCUUAUCAGCUUGUUGGUGGGGUAGUGGCUUACCAAGGCUUUGACGGGUAGCCGGCCUGAGAGGGUGACCGGCCACAUUGGGACGGAGAUACGGCCCAGACUCCUACGGGAGGCAGCAGUGGGGAAGAGUGCACAAUAGGCGGAGGCCUGAUGCAGCAACGCCGCGUGCGGGAUGACGGCCUUCGGGUUGUAAACCGCUGUCGCCUGUGACGAAGCGUGAGUGACGGUAAUGGGUAAAGAAGCACCGGCUAACUACGUG